rnacentral:lncRNA from 1 species
CCGUUUUCAUCUAUUUAAAACUGACUAAACCAACUAGUUCUUAUCAAAAUUUAAAAAAAUGAUAUUGUUCAAUGUUUCUCCGAUUUUAAAGCCCUAGUUAAAAUAAUUGGGACUUAUUUCCAAGCAAAACUUAAAAGCACAAAGAUUCUCUUUAUGUAGUCACUAUGAAACAUUUUCUUCAACCAAUUUACGCCGUAAUUGGCUUGACUAAGGCUGUAAAAGAGAGAAAAUGUCAAACGGUUCAAUUUUAUAAAAGUUUUUGGCGAUACUAGUUGGUUCG